GCCUGUUUUUACAAAAACAUGGCUCUUUGUAUAAAAAAAAUAAAGAGUCGGACCUGCCCAGUGAUAAAUAUUUUUAACGGCCGCGGUACCCUGACCGUGCAAAGGUAGCAUAAUCAUUUGCCUUGUAAUUUAAGGCUAGUAUGAAGGGUUUGACAAGAAUAUAACUGUCUCUUUUUAAUUAAAUAGAACUUUACUUUCAGGUGAAGAGGCCUGUAUUAUAUUAAUAGACAAGAAGACCCUAUCGAGCUUGAAAACAAUUAAUAGGCUUUACAUUAAAUAGUUAUAAAACUUAAGCUAUUAAGCAUUUUGGUUGGGGCGACUAAGGAACAAAAUAAGCUUCCUUAAAAAUUUUAACAUUCAGGUGCUGACCCAGAAUUAUUCUGAUUAAAGGAAUUAGUUACCGUAGGGAUAACAGCAUUAUCUUUUUUAAGAGCUCUUAUCGAAAAAAAGGUUUGUGACCUCGAUGUUGGACCAGAAUGUCCUAAAGGUGCAGCAGCCUUUAAGGGUUGGUCUGUUCGACCAUUAAAAUUCUACGUGAUCUGAGUUCA
rnacentral:rRNA from 1 species